rnacentral:rRNA from 1 species
CCCUUAGAUGUUCUGGGCCGCACGCGCGCUACACUGAUGCAUUCAACGAGUCUAAAACCUGCUCUGAUAGGGGUGGGUAAUCUUUUGAAUGUGCAUCGUGAUUGGGAUAGAUGAUUGCAAUUUUUCAUCUUCAACGAGGAAUGCCUAGUAAACGCAAGUCAUCAGCUUGCAUUGAUUACGUCCCUGCCCUUUGUACACACCGCCCGUCGCUCCUACCGAUUGAAUGAUCCGAUGAAUAUCAUAGACUGAGAGUAUAAGCAGGUUCGCCUGUCUUUGCUUCUCGAGAAGUGAAGUAAAUCUUAUCAUUUAGAGGAAGGAGAAGUCGUAACA